GAUAAGAUGACUGAGCGGUUCAAGGCGUAGCAUUGGAACUGCUAUGUAGGCUUCUUUUUACCGAGGUCCUUUUCCGUCGCCUUAUUC
rnacentral:tRNA from 1 species